rnacentral:rRNA from 1 species
GAUGAACGCUGGCGGCGUGCCUAAUACAUGCAAGUCGAGCGAACAGACGAGGAGCUUGCUCCUCUGACGUUAGCGGCGGACGGGUGAGUAACACGUGGAUAACCUACCUAUAAGACUGGGAUAACUUCGGGAAACCGGAGCUAAUACCGGAUAAUAUAUUGAACCGCAUGGUUCAAUAGUGAAAGACGGUUUUGCUGUCACUUAUAGAUGGAUCCGCGCCGCAUUAGCUGGUUGGUAAGGUAACGGCUUACCAAGGCGACGAUGCGUAGCCGACCUGAGAGGGUGAUCGGCCACACGGGAAGUGAGCCGCCGUCCAGACUCCUACGGGAGGCAGCAGUAGGGAAUCUUCCGCAAUGGGCGAAAGCAUGACGGAGCAACGCCGCGUGAGUGAUGAAGGUCUUCGGAUCGUAAAACUCUGUUAUUAGGGAAGAACAAAUGUGUAAGUAACUAUGCACGUCUUGACGGUACCUAAUCAGAAAGCCACGGCUAACUACGUG